AUUGAACGCUGGCGGCAGGCCUAACACAUGCAAGUCGAGCGGCAGCGGGAAAGUAGCUUGCUACUUUUGCCGGCGAGCGGCGGACGGGUGAGUAAUGCCUGGGGAUCUGCCCAGUCGAGGGGGAUAACUACUGGAAACGGUAGCUAAUACCGCAUACGCCCUACGGGGGAAAGCAGGGGACCUUCGGGCCUUGCGCGAGUGGAUGAACCCAGGUGGGAUUAGAUAGUUGGUGAGGUAAUGGCUCACCAAGGCGACGAUCCCUAGCUGGUCUGAGAGGAUGAUCAGCCACACUGGAAAUGAGACACGGUCCAGACUCCUACGGGAGGCAGCAGUGGGGAAUAUUGCACAAUGGGGGAAACCCUGAUGCAGCCAUGCCGCGUGUGUGAAGAAGGCCUUCGGGUUGUAAAGCACUUUCAGCGAGGAGGAAAGGUCAGUAGCUAAUAUCUGCUGGCUGUGACGUUACUCGCAGAAGAAGCACCGGCUAACUCCGUGCCAGCCGCCGCGGUAA
rnacentral:rRNA from 1 species